rnacentral:tRNA from 1 species
GAGAAUCUUUCAGGCCUGCUAAGCCCAGAAAGUCGUGGUUUAACUCCAUGAAGGCCUCG